rnacentral:rRNA from 1 species
GAUCCUGGCUCAGGAUGAACGCUAGCUACAGGCUUAACACAUGCAAGUCGAGGGGCAGCAUGACGAUAGCUUGCUAUUGUCGAUGGCGACCGGCGCACGGGUGAGUAACGCGUAUCCAACCUUCCCCAUAGUAGGGCAUAGCCCGUAGAAAUGCGGAUUAAUACCCUAUGUUUUCCGAAGCAGACAUCUAAUUUGGAACAAAGGUUCACCGCUAUGGGAUGGGGAUGCGUCUGAUUAGGUUGUUGGCGGGUAACGGCCCACCAAGCCAUCGAUCAGUAGGGUUCUGAGAGGAAGGUCCCCCACAUUGGAACUGAGACACGGUCCAAACUCCUACGGGAGGCAGCAGUGAGGAAUAUUGGUCAAUGGGCGAGAGCCUGAACCAGCCAAGUAGCGUGCAGGAAGACCGGCCCUAUGGGUUGUAAACUGUCUUUUAUGCGGGGAUAAAGUGGGCUACGUGUAGUCCUUUGCAGGUACCGCAUGAAUAAGGACCGGCUAAUUCCGUGCCAGCCGCAGC